CCCAGAACUGGAAUGAACGGAGAGACUUGGGCAGGCAUCUGGUCCUGGAGGAGCCGUACCACGGGGAAGGAGGGCCAAGGAAGACUGAAGGAGGUAGGAGCAGGCGGCAG